rnacentral:rRNA from 1 species
CCUACGGGAGGCAGCAGUGAGGAAUAUUGGUCAAUGGGCGCGAGCCUGAACCAGCCAAGUAGCGUGAAGGAUGACUGCCCUACGGGUUGUAAACUUCUUUUAUAAAGGAAUAAAGUGAGGCACGUGUGCCUUUUUGUAUGUACCUUAUGAAUAAGGAUCGGCUAACUCCGUGCCAGCAGCCGCGGUAAUACGGAGGAUCCGAGCGUUAUCCGGAUUUAUUGGGUUUAAAGGGAGCGUAGAUGGGUUGGUAAGUCAGUUGUGAAAGUCUGCGGCUCAAACGUAAAAUUGCAAUUGAAACUGGCAGCCUUGAGUACAGUUGAGGUAGGCGGAAUGCGUGGUGUAGCGGUGAAAUGCAUAGAUAUCACGAAGAACGCCGAUUGCGAAGGCAGCUUACUAGACUGCCACUGACAUUGAUGCGCGAAAGUGUGGGUAUCAAACAGGAUUAGAUACCCUAGUAGUC